rnacentral:rRNA from 1 species
UUGGUCAAGCUACAAAGGGCUCACGGUGGAUACCUUGGCACACAGAGGCGAUGAAGGACGUGGUUACCUGCGAUAAGUCUCGGGGAGCUGGAAACACGCUUUGAUCCGGGAAUUUCCGAAUGGGGCAACCCUUAGAACGGCCGCCUGAAUCCAUAGGGCGGCACGAGCCAACCCAGCGAACUGAAACAUCUUAGUAGCUGGAGGAAAGGAAAGUAAAAACGACUCCCUAAGUAGCGGCGAGCGAACGGGGAAGAGCCUAAACCGAUGCUUCCGAGCAUCGGGGUUGUGGGACAGCAACGUGGACCAACGGAGUUAGAAGAAGCGUUUGAAUGGCGCGCCACAGAGGGUGAAAGCCCCGUAUUCGAAAACAAAGUUGGCCUAGCUGUAUCCCGAGUAGCACGGAGCACGUGAAAUUCCGUGUGAAUCUGCGAGGACCACCUCGUAAGGCUAAGUACUCCUGUGUGACCGAUAGCGAAACAGUACCGCGAGGGAAAGGUGAAAAGAACCCCGGGAGGGGAGUGAAAUAGAACAUGAAACCGUGAGCUUACAAGCAAUGGGAGCCCGACUAAUCGGGUGACCGUGUGCCUGUUGAAGAAUGAGCCGGCGACUUAUAGGCACUGGCAGGUUAAACCGGGAAUGGUGGAGCCAUAGCGAAAGCGAGUCUGAAUAGGGCGAUCGUCAGUGUUUAUAGACCCGAACCCGGGUGAUCUAACCAUGGCCAGGAUGAAGCUUGGGUGAUACCAAGUGGAGGUCCGAACCGACUGAUGUUGAAAAAUCAGCGGAUGAGCUGUGGUUAGGGGUGAAAUGCCAAUCGAACCCGGAGCUAGCUGGUUCUCCCCGAAAUACGUUGAGGCGUAGCGUCUAGUGCUCCAGCAGGGGGGUAAAGCCACCGUUUCGGUGCGGGCUGCGAGAGCGGUACCAAAUCGAUACGAACUCUGAAUACCCUGUGUGUAACUAGGCAGUCAGACUGUGGGGGAUAAGCUCCAUGGUCGAAAGGGAAACAGCCCAGACCGCCAGCUAAGGUCCCCAAAUCAAUGCUGAGUGAUAAAGGAGGUGGGAUUGCCCAGACAACCAGGAGGUUUGCCUAGAAGCAGCCAUCCUCAAAGGAGUGCGUAAUAGCUCACUGGUCGAGCGAUCCUGCGCCGAAAAUGAACGGGGCUAAGCAUU